rnacentral:sRNA from 1 species
CUCGCAUUUCCCAUCUCAUCUCUCGCUCGCUCGCUCGCUCGCCGCUACGCCUCACGAUUCCGACGACUCCGACGCCGGUAGGGUCAUAACACCCUCCUAGACGCCGGCGACGACGAGGGUGGUUGGGUUGUGGAUAGCGGCUGCGACGACGAGGGCGCUCUCCUGACCGCCGGCGUGGGGUGCCCCAGCUCCACCACCGGCGACGACUCCUCCUCCGCCGCGAGCGCUCCCCCAGCCUGCUUCUUUUGCGGGGGUAGCCGGGGCUCCGGCCUCGGCGGCUUUCAAAGCCCCCUUCCUCACAACAGGAUCCAAAAUCCCGUCCUAGAGUUCUUCUACCUCCCCUUCCAAAACUUCCUCUUUUGGCAUCCUUGAUUCAAUUUCCCUUCCCUUUCUUUCUUUCUUUCUUUCUUUCUUUCGAUUUCUUCUUCUUGCUUUAGAUUUCUUAUCCUUCUUCUUGUUGCUAAUCUCGAUCGAUCCAUCUAUCCAUCCAAACAACCUCAUUCUUUUUUCCUUUGAUUUGAUUCUUCGCUGCUAACGCCACCGAAACAGACAACAGAUUUACAGCAAAAG